UUCCUUCUUUGUUAUGUUUUAUUUGUUUUUCUCACUUUUCGAUUUGAUUGAAUGACGAGGACUGUAUUUUGAUUGUGAUUAUUCUUUUUCCACUAUGAAUCUGUUAGUGUAGGUGUAGUAGUACUAUUGUUGGAGAAUAAUGGCGACCUUCGAGCUAUAUCGGAGAUCAACGAUCGGAAUGUGUUUGACGGAAACUUUGGAUCAGAUGGUUUCUACCGGAGUUCUGAGCCCCGAACUCGCCAUUCAAGUUUUAAUUCAAUUUGACAAGUGAAUGACUGAAGCUCUAGAGACUGAGGUGAAGAACAAGGUUUCCAUUAAGGGACAUCUUCAUACCUACUGAUUCUGUGACAAUGUGUGGACUUUCAUUUUACAAAAUGCUCAGGUGAAAAGUGAGGAAGGCCAGGAAACUGUUGAUUGUCUCAACAAAGUUACUCAGUAAAAAGAUAGCUUACUUGGCAGUUUUUGUAAGGAUCUGGGAAAAAGAAGAGAGGCUAUGAGGAAUUCCGGAGGCAAGUCCUUCCUGUUUAUAUUUGACAAAAGAUUAAUAGCGGAGGCGGAGUAUCGGAAAAUUAACACGCAUAAGCUACUGUUGGUGGUGCCUUCUGAAUUCAACAUGACUGUAAAUCAACAUGAAGUACCGACUUGGAAAUUAUAAUAUGUUGAUGGCGUGUAAUCAUUUUGGAACAACCAACAGGUAGAAACGCUUAUAAAUAUCUGAUUUAUACUUUU